UCGUCGUGUCGGUCACUUGAUGAAAAAUUCCGCCAGCGAAUCGAUAAAAAGUGAAUUUCCUUCGUCUGUCGUUGUACAAUCGGACAUUAAAGUCGUGCGUCUCUCUCAGUGCUCGUCCGUUCCUUGUCCGAAAGUCUUGGACAAAAAAAAUAAUGCACUUCCCCGUGUGGACUCUUAUCAACUGAUAAGAACUGUUGUUGAAGUCAGGAAUGUCAAGGACACGUGAAAUGCCGCCGACCCGGAAAAGCCUGAAUUCGUCUUGAGUUAAAGUGUUUGAAAAGUCGAAAUAAAUAAUAAAAAAUU